UAGCCCUAACUUCUUGAGCUCCCGCUGGAUCCACCGUAAGGUCCCCUCUUGCGGCAUCUCCUCUGCUCGGCGUCCCUCCCAUGCUCGUCGCCACUAGAAGAAGGCCAUUCAUCCACUACCAGCAACAGUCGACGGAACAAAGAUGAAUUAAGGUUGGAAGUGUUAGCGACAAAUCUUGGAGCUUCGAUGCCGUAACAAAAAUCACUUGAGUUGUGGUUCUUUCUCCUUCAAAUAUCUCAGCAUUCCGAACUCUCCACAAGACCCACACAGCGUUGCAAUCAACGUCAGCUUUCUCUCUCCUUCUUGCCCCAAACUCAUCAAUGUGCACACCGCCAGCCACAAAUCGGCAAAAUUUUCAAAUUGCUGCUGCUAGUUAAUGGAGUCGAAGCCUUAUUCAUCAGGGCCGCAAUUAAGCAAACAGUUUCCGAAGAAGUUCUGCAUCUUGAACUUAGUACUUCAAUCAGAUUCUGACAGUUGUGCUUGAGGUGCUGGAUGAUUCAGAUUCUUCAAUCAGAGAGCUUGCUCUUUCAAUGCUUGUUGAAAUGCUUAAAAACCAGAAAGAUGCCAUGGAAAGUUCAGUCGAAAUUGUUAUUGAAAAGCUGCUUAAUGUAACAAAGGAUAGAGUUCCUAAGGUCUCAAAUGAAGCAGAGCACUGCCUGACUAUUGUUUUAUCCUAGCAUGAUCUAUUCAGAUGUUUAAGUGUUAUUGUCCCCCUAUUGGUUAGUGAGGAUGAGAAAACUCUUGUUACUUGCAUAAAUUGCUUGACAAAG